AUUGAACGCUGGCGGCAGGCCUAACACAUGCAAGUCGAGCGGAGCGGCGGACGGGUGAGUAAUGGCUGGGAACCUGCCUGAUGGAGGGGGAUAACUGCUGGAAACGGUAGCUAAUACCACAUACCAUCCGAUGUGCCCAGAUGGGAUUAGCUAGUUGGUGGGGUAAAGGACUACCAAGGCGACGAUCCGUAACUGGUCUGAGCGGAUGAUCAGCCACACUGUAACGUAGACACGGUCCAGACUCCUACGGGAGGCAGCAGUGGGGAAUAUUGGACAAUGGGCGAAAGCCUGAUCCAGCCAUGCCGCGUGUGUGAAGAAGGUCUUCGGAUUGUAAAGCACUUUAAGUUGGGAGGCGUUACCAACAGAAUAAGCACCGGCUAACUUCGUGCCAGCAGCCGCGGUAAUUC
rnacentral:rRNA from 1 species